CGGCCUUCCUACUUGCCCCGCCCCUCCCCGCCCCAGGCUACUACCCGCCGGUCCCUGCUGCUCUCCCCCGCGAAGCCCAGUCGCCGCCAUGGUGCAGGCCUGGUACAUGGACGAGUCCGCGGACGACCCACGGCUGCCUCACCGUCUCGAGCCCGACCGCCCAGUGAGCCUGGAGCAGCUGCGCAGACUCGGCGUGCUCUACUGGAAGGUGCGCGGGGCUGCUGCGCCCGAUGGCCCUCUCCCGCGGCCGGAGCAUGGCGCAUGCGCUGCACGGCGCUGGUGGUGGGGUGCCGCGGCCUCCGGUCCGGGCCGCUCUGCGCAUGCGCAGGCCGGGUUGGGCGCCUGCGUCUGUUUGGUUCUGCCUCCAGCUGCUGUGCUUCCCUGGGUCAGAUGGAGUGCAGGCAGGGCCCGCUCUGGAGGCAGCCCUUCUCUGCAGUACUAGGUAGCGAGAUGAGCCGCGCUCCCAGACCUCUUUAAUGUUGAGACAGGGCCUCUGUAAGUUACUAAGUUGCCCAACUGGAACUCUAGCUCGAAGUCCUCCUGCCUCAGCCUCCCUAGUGCUGGGAUGACAGGCGUGCGUCACCACGCUGGGCCGGGACCUGCUUCUGGACUCUUACCUGAGACAGUGAGAUUACAUGCCUGUGCCACCAUAGCUGAUCAGAGCCAUCCUUUCAGUGUGUCUCUUGACUGGUGUCUUAGUGACUGCGGUCCGAGCAAACCACACUCAGACCCGCUUUGCGCGCCGCCGGCCCGGCCGGGACCCCGCCAGGGCAGCUGGGCUUGGGAGGAGCAGAUCGGUCACCCAGCCAGGGCCUGUAAUUCCAGCACUCGGGAGGCUGAGGCAGAGGAUCGCUUCCGAGUUCGAGGCCAACCGGAACUACAUGGCGAGACCCUGUCUGAAAACAGUAAAAUGUCACCUAGUGGACCCUGUGCAGG
rnacentral:lncRNA from 1 species